rnacentral:rRNA from 1 species
GAUGAACGCUAGCUACAGGCUUAACACAUGCAAGUCGAGGGGUAACGAGAGGAAAGCUUGCUUUCCUUGUCGACGACCGGCGCACGGGUGAGUAACGCGUAUCCAACCUGCCCCCAACUAGGGAAUAACCUUGCGAAAGUAAGACUAAUACCCUAUAAUUUCCUCAGAUGUCAUCUGACGAGGAAUAAAGAUUUAUCGGCUGUGGAUGGGGAUGCGUCUGAUUAGCUUGUUGGCGGGGUAACGGCCCACCAAGGCAACGCUCAGUAGGGGUUAUGAGAGAAAGGUCCCCCACAUUGGAACUGAGACACGGUCCAAACUCCUACGGGAGGCAGCAGUGAGGAAUAUUGGUCAAUGGGCGGAAGCCUGAACCAGCCAAGUAGCGUGCAGGAUGACGGCCCUAUGGGUUGUAAACUGCUUUUAUACAGGAAUAAAGUUAGCCACGUGUGGUUAUUUGUAGGUACUGUAUGAAUAAGGACCGGCUAAUUCCGUGCCAGCAGCCGCCGUAA